CCUACGGGUGGCAGCAGUGAGGAAUAUUGGUCAAUGGGCGCGAGCCUGAACCAGCCAAGUAGCGUGAAGGAUGACUGCCCUACGGGUUGUAAACUUCUUUUAUAAAGGAAUAAAGUGAGGCACGUGUGCCUGUUUGUAUGUACUUUAUGAAUAAGGAUCGGCCAACUCCGUGCCAGCAGCCGCGGUAAUACGGAGGAUCCGAGCGUUACCCGGAUUUAUUGGGUUUAAAGGGAGCGUAGAUGGGUUGUUAAGUUAGUUGGGAAAGUGUGCGGCUCAACCGUAGAAUUGCAGUUGAUACUGGCAGCCUUGAGUGCAGUUGAGGUAGGCGGAAUUCGUGGUGUAGCGGUGAAAUGCUUAGAUAUCACGAAGAACUCCGAUUGCGAAGGCAGCUUACUAAACUGCCACUGACGUUGAUGCUCGAAAGUGUGGGUAUCAAACAGGAUUAGAUACCCGUGUAGUC
rnacentral:rRNA from 1 species